rnacentral:tRNA from 2 species
CAUUAAGAAGCUAGACAAAGCGUUAGUCUUUUAAACUAAAGUCGAUGAACCACAUCCUUAGUGA